CGGGGAGGGUCAUUGGAAACUGGGGAACUUGAGUGCCGAAGAGAAAAGUGCAAUUCCACGUGUAGCGGUGAAAUGCGUAGAGAUGUGGAGGAACACCAGUGGCGAACGCGGCUUUUUGGUCUGUAACUGACGCUGAGGAGCGAAAGCGUGGGGAGCGAACAGGAUUACAUACCCUGGUCCUCCACGCCGUAAACGAUGAGUGCUAAGUGUUAGACGGUUUCCGCCCUUUAGUGCUGCAGCUAACGCAUUACGCACUCCGCCUGGGGAGUACGGUCGCAAGACUGAAACUCUAAGGAAUUGACGGGCGCCCGCACAAGCGGUGGAUCAUGUGGUUUAAUUCGAAGCAACGCUAAGAACCUUACCAGGUCUUGACAUCCUCUGACAAUCCUAGAGAUCGUCCGUUCCCUUCCGGGGGACA
rnacentral:rRNA from 2 species